CGGGUAGCGGAACACGUACGCAACUUACCCUGAACUGGGGGAUAGCCCACCGAAAGGUGGAUUAAUACCUCGUAACAUCUUGUAGUGGCAUCACUGUAAGAUUAUAGCUCCGGCGGUUCAGGAUGGGCGUGCGGCCCAUUAGGUAGUUGGUAGAGGUAACGGCUCACCAAGCCUGCGAUGGGUAACUGGUGUGAGAGCACGACCAGUCACACGGGCACUGAGACACGGGCCCG
rnacentral:rRNA from 1 species